rnacentral:rRNA from 1 species
UACGAAGGGGGCUAGCGUUGUUCGGAAUUACUGGGCGUAAAGCGCGCGCAGGCGGUCUUCCAAGUCAGUGGUGAAAGCCCGGAGCUCAACUCCGGAACUGCCAUUGAAACUGUUAGACUUGAGGAUGAGAGAGGUGAGUGGAAUUCCCAGUGUAGAGGUGAAAUUCGUAGAUAUUGGGAAGAACACCGGUGGCGAAGGCGGCUCACUGGCUCAUAUCUGACGCUCAGGCGCGACAGCGUGGGGAUCAAGCAGG